CGUACAGAACCUUCCUUUAAGUGGGGAAUAGCCCAGAGAAAUUUGGAUUAAUACCCCGUAACAUUAUGAAGUGGCAUCACCUUAUAAUUAUAGAUUUAUCGCUUAGAGAUGGCUGUGCGGCUGAUUAGAUAGUUGGUGAGGUAACGGCUCACCAAGUCUGCGAUCAGUAACUGGUGUGAGAGCACGACCAGUCACACGGGCACUGAGACACGGGCCCG
rnacentral:rRNA from 1 species